AAACAAUCACCUAUAAAUAUACUCAAAACCAUCAUCGAUUCUUGCAAAUCAUCACCCUUCCAUCGAUCGAUCUGAUCCACCUAGUUGCAAGCUCGAUCGAUCUCUCAUCUGCUCUGCUAAUUGAUCCUAAGGCGAUCAUGGCAGCUGCCAACAGAUCGGCUCUCCUCGUCGUGGCCAUGGCGGCGGCGGUGCUCACGACGACGGCGACGGGCGCCACCACCUACACGGUAGGAGCACCGGCCGGGUCGUGGGACACGCGCACCAACUACGCGCAGUGGGUGUCCGCCGUCACCUUCCGUGUCGGCGACCAGCUUGUGUUCAAGUACUCGCCGGCGGCGCACGACGUCGUGGAGGUGACCAAGGCUGGCUACGACUCCUGCUCGAGCUCCGGCCCCGUCGCCACCUUCAACUCCGGCGAUGACACCGUGCCAUUGACAGCUACCGGCACCCGAUACUUCAUGUGCGGCUUCCCUGGCCAUUGCGCCGCCGGGAUGAAGAUCGCAGUCAAGGUCGAGGCCGCCACUGCCACCGGCGGUAGUGGCACUGCACUGUCGCCAAUGGCGCCUCGUCCGCGCACGCCUACAGCAAUGGCACCGAACGCGAUGCCACCUAUGGCUGGUGGUCGGCCUGUGUCUCCAUCGAGCUCGGCGAGCAAGUCCACUGGUGUUGCAUCUCUGGUUGGGCUUAGUUUGGGCGCCAUAGUUGCUGGCCUCAUGUCCUUCUAAAUUAGAGGAAGAAUAUUUUUUGUUCUCUCUUCAUUGGCGAUCGAUUGAUCAUGUUCAUAUGUAUUGAUUUGUUUGUGAUUAGUCCAGCUCAUAUUGUUACUUAUGUAAUUUUUGGUUACAUGUUAUUGAGCUUGCUUAUAUUUUGAUUCUUUAUUGCUAUAUAUAUAUGUUUUUGACCAUCAUCACUAUUGUUUGACUUCAAUUUUGUCUUUUCACCUAAAAUGUACACCUUAAUUAGUCAGUUGCAAUUAAACAAAAGGGGGAGAAUUCCAUUUCAAAAGCCUCUGGCUCAUAUGAACAUAAAUAUAAAUACCUAUAGCCAUAUUUUACCGAAACGGGGGAUAUGCUAGCUAAACCUUCAAAUAUCCGUACCUAUAAAUCCGAUGCCCUGGUGCUAACCAAUAAUAAAUUCUCUGUUUAGAAAAUAGGAUUAAUUAAGCAAAGAGUAUGUUUUACAUUAUACUGUGUAUAGGCCAAGGCUAUAGCCACUUUUCACUUAAUGCAACAUAUUUUACAAUUUAUUGUAAAAUUAUCCUUAUUCACGCUGUGGAUGAUGAUCCCCUAUCCACAUCAGAAGAACUAUCAACUACCCAUAGAUCUAAUGUGCUCCUCUAAAUUAAAAAAAAAGAACAUUAAAUGACUAAUAACAGCUGUAGUUAUAUGGUACAAUAUAAACAUGUGGAUGAUCGAGGAAGCUAACAUUGUAACUAUAUAUUGUGUGUUUAAACUUACGAAAUCAUUGCAUGCAUCCUGAUGAAUUACUCUGAUUUCUUUACGAAGUAUAAAAACAUAAUUUCAACACCUCAAACGUGUGUUCGCAUCGCCGUCAUGAGCAACGGAUAUUUUAGGUGGCUAUAAUUACCAUCGAACGAUCAUCAAAGGGAAGAAAAACAAGUUUGUUCAAGCUAGAUCACUGAAGGAGAGGAUGUAAAACGUACAAAAACAGAAUGAGAAUGUCAUGGAACAUAUUAGAACGCGUUGGAGUCAAUCCAAAAUUAGGGCCUCGUACAGUCGGGCACCCCACACUUGUCCACGUAGCAUAUUGUGUACUCCCUCCGUACUCGUAAAGAAAUUCGUUUUGGACAGCGACACGGUCUUCAAAACACAACUUUGACAUCUUAUUUCUAUAAAAAUAUUUAUUCAAAAGUGAUACAUGUAUAUUUUUAUGAAAGUAUUUUUCAAAACAAAUCUAUUCAUAUAAUUUUUACAUUUUCAAACUCAACAACUUGAGCAUUAUUUAUGAUUUAUAUUUCCAAUGUUUGACUUAAACAUUAUCCUAAACGAAUUCCUUUACAAGUAUGGAGGGAGUAUCAUUUAUACUCCUUUAAAAGCCUUUAGUAGUGGUGGCAGCGAAUCUACCACCCUAUUAGUGCUUUUGAAUUAUUUUUUUUACAAAUUGCCCCCAUAAUAUUUUAAAUAUUAUAGAAUAGUACAAUAUUAUGAUAUGACAUAUUAUGAAUUUUUUUUCUUCUGCCUAUAGCAAAGCUUGUAGAUGUGUGUUAGUGGAUACAUUCGUGGAUAUUUAUAUGUGGUGUGUGUAACUACGCCGAUGUUAUGCAGCUACAUUAUCUCGAGGGGGAAAAAACCUCCUAACUAUUGGUAGAUAAUCAAAUUAAGACCCCAUCUUGUUCUUAUAAAAAGACAAAAAAAAACCAUCCAGAAAGAGAAAAUUCUCAUCUAGAAGCCAGUCAGUCUACAUCCAUGCAGCUUUGAUCAUUUCAAUCAGGUGAUUCAGACCAAAGUCGAGCAGCCAACUCGACGACUAUUCUAACACACCUACCCAUCAAUUAAUUAAUUAAUUAACUACACUUUCACACGAGUCUAGUCAAACACAUAUUGACCAACCAACCCCUGCAUUGACCUCACCUCACCUCACUCAUCCCUGCCAAUCCACGCGCUUAAUUAGCUUAAUGCAUUAAAGCAAGUUUAAUAGUAUAGCUAAUUAAUAACUCUAAAUUAUAUCAAUCUAAUAAUUAAUUUAUACAAUAAUUAACUAUAAAUAUAUAAUACAUCAUUAAUAAUUGGUCCACCUGUUAUACACAUAUAACAUUUUAAAGUCUGUACUACAGCUAGUUAUAAAUCUGUAUAGUCUUCUCUUUUCUUUCGUCUCUCAUCUCUUCUAUAUGUGAUUAUAGCUGAUUUAUAAUCUGUAUUAUAUAUGUUCUUAGCUUAAGCUAAUUAAUCACCCAUCACCUAUAUAUACACAUACUUCCCAUCGUCUCCUUGCCAUCUCAUUUCUUGCAUCAUCUCCUCCCAAUUCCAAGCUCCAUCGAUCUCCUCGAUCGUCGAUCGUCGCGGCCAUGGCAGCAUCAGCCAGAGCUCUCCUCGUCGUGGCCGUGGCGGCGGCGGCGGCGGUGCUCGCGACGACGGCGAUGGGCGCCACCACCUACACGGUGGGAGCACCGGCCGGGUCGUGGGACACGCGCACCAACUACGCGCAGUGGGCGUCCGCCGCCACCUUCCGCGCCGGUGACCGGCUCGUGUUCAGGUACUCGCCGGCGGCGCACGACGUCGUGGAGGUGACCAAGGCCGGCUACGACGCCUGCUCGGCGGCGAGCCCCAUCGCCAC
rnacentral:lncRNA from 1 species